AUUGAACGCUGGCGGCAUGCUUUACACAUGCAAGUCGAACGGCAGCGCGGGCUUCGGCCUGGCGGCGAGUGGCGAACGGGUGAGUAAUGCAUCGGAACGUGCCCAGUAGUGGGGGAUAGCCCGGCGAAAGCCGGAUUAAUACCGCAUACGGCCUGAGGGUGAAAGUGGGGGACCGAAAGGCCUCGCGCUAUUGGAGCGGCCGAUGUCGGAUUAGCUAGUUGGUGGGGUAAAGGCUUACCAAGGCGACGAUCCGUAGCUGGUCUGAGAGGACGACCAGCCACACUGGGACUGAGACACGGCCCAGACUCCUACGGGAGGCAGCAGUGGGGAAUUUUGGACAAUGGGGGCAACCCUGAUCCAGCCAUGCCGCGUGCGGGAAGAAGGCCUUCGGGUUGUAAACCGCUUUUGUUCGGGAAGAAAUACUCUGGGCUAAUACCCCGGGGGGAUGACGGUACCGGAAGAAUAAGCACCGGCUAACUACGUG
rnacentral:rRNA from 1 species